rnacentral:lncRNA from 1 species
CGGCCGGCUCGCCGCCUGCCUUCUCUUGUGCUGGUGGUGCUGCUGGUAGUGACCGUCGUCCUCACCUUCAACUGCUGGAGCAUCUCUUCUUGCCACGUCCUGCUUCAGGAGGAGGUGGCCGAGCUGCAGGGCCAGGUCCGGCGCACCGAAGUGGCCCGCGAGCGGCUGGAAAAGGGCAAUUCGGACCUCUUGCUGUUGGUGGACACGCACAAGAAACAGAUCACCAGAAGGAGGCCGACUAGGGCCGCCUCAACAGCCGGCUGCAGGUCAGACAGGGCCUGGGGAAGAGAUGCGAGGAUGACAAAGUUAAACUACAGAACGACAUAUCAUAUCAGAUGGCAGACAUACAUCAUUUAAAGGAGCACCUUGCCGAGGGCUUCGUCAGGAGUUUCUUCGACAAGAAGACCAGCUUCAGGACUAUAGGAAGAACAAUACUUACCUUGUGAAGAGGUUAGAAUAUCAAAGUUUUCAGUGUGGACAGCAGAUCAAGGAAUUGAGAGCACAGCAUGAAGAAAACAUUAAAAAGUUAGUAGACCAGUUUUUACAGGAACAAAAGGAAGAGGCCCUCAAGAUUCAAUCAAAUGACGGAAAAGAACUGGGUAUAAACGAUCAAGUAGUACCUAAAAAUAUUCCAAAAGUAGCUGAGAAUGUUGCAGAUAAGAAUGAAGAACCCUCAAGCAAUCAUAUUCUACAUGGGAAAGAACAAAUCAAAAGAGGUGGUGAUGCAGGGAUGCCUGGAAUAAAAAAGAAUGACCUAGCAAAAGUCGAUGAUCUUCCCCCUGCUUUAAAGAAGCCUCCUAUUUCAGUUUUUCAACAUGAAAGUCAUCAGGCAAUCUCCCAUCUUCCAACUGGACAACCUCUCUCCCCAAAUAUGCCUCCAGAUUCACAGGUAAACCACAAUGGAAACCCUGG